GAGGGUUUGGGGUUUCAGGAUUGAGGCGAGAGUCCGACCUGGUGGAAGCACAGAAGACCCAAUAGGGCAAGUGGCCCCAAAGCCGUGCCGUGGUACACAAAGAGCCAGACGAGGGCUACACCAAGGGGCAUGAGCAAAGGAGUCCAACGCCAGGAAGCAGGGCCGACAGAGACCCGCGUCCAGAUGCUAGCUGCAAAGGGCAAUUUGGCAGGAUCCGGGGCCUGAAACGGCAGGCUGAGGGGAAGUACCCCCAGCACAACUGGAGCACCCGGAUCCUCUGCCCGGGACGGUCCAC
rnacentral:lncRNA from 1 species